rnacentral:rRNA from 1 species
GAUGAACGCUGGCGGCGUGCUUAACACAUGCAAGUCGAACGGGAUCCAAGGGGUGCUUGCACUUUUUGGUGAGAGUGGCGAACGGGUGAGUAACACGUGAGUAACCUGUCCUUUUCUUUGGGAUAAGCAUUCGAAAGGGUGUUUAAUACCUUAUGUUCUGUCUGCCUCGCAUGGGGUGGGUGGGAAAGGCUUUGGCCGGAUUUGGGUGGGCUCGCGGUCUAUCAGCUUGUUGGUGGGGUGAUGGCUUACCAAGGCUUUGACGGGUAGCCGGCCUGAGAGGGUGGUCGGUCACAUUGGGACUGAGAUACGGCCCAGACUCCUGCGGGAGGCAGCAGUGGGGGAUAUUGCACAAUGGGCGAAAGCCUGAUGCAGCGACGCCGCGUGGGGGAUGAAGGCCUUCGGGUUGUAAACUUCAUUUGCUCUGAACAAGGCAUGCCAGUGGGUGUGUUGAGUGUAGGGGUUGAUUAGCGCCGGCUAACUACGUG